GACGGGGGCCCGCACAAGCGGCGGAGCAUGUGGAUUAAUUCGAUGCAACGCGAAGAACCUUACCUGGGCUUGACAUACACCGGACCGGGCCAGAGAUGGUCCUUCCCUUGUGGCCGGUGUACAGGUGGUGCAUGGUUGUCGUCAGCUCGUGUCGUGAGAUGUUGGGUUAAGUCCCGCAACGAGCGCAACCCUUGUCUUAUGUUGCCAGCACGUGAUGGUGGGGACUCAUGAGAGACUGCCGGGGUCAACUCGGAGGAAGGUGGGGAUGACGUCAAAUCAUCAUGCCCCUUAUGUCCAGGGCUUCACACAUGCUACAAUGGUCGGUACAGCAGGUCGCGAACCCGUGAGGGUAAGCCAAUCCUCGUGAAAGCCGGCCUCAGUUCGGAUUGGGGUCUGCAACUCGACCCCAUGAAGUCGGAGUCGUCUAGUAAUCGCAGAUCAGCAAC
rnacentral:rRNA from 1 species